AUUGAACGCUGGCGGCAGGCCUAACACAUGCAAGUCGAGCGAGCGGCGGACGGGUGAGUGAUGUGUGGGAAAAUGCCCGAGGGAGGGGGGGAACAACUGGGAAAGGUGGCUAUUAUCCCGUACCCUCACGGGUGCACAGAUGGGAUUAGCUAGUAGGUGGGGGGACAGCUCACCUAGGCGACGAUCCCUAGCUGGUCUGAGAGGAUGACCAGCCACGCGGGGACUGAGACACGGCCCAGACUCCUACGGGAGGCAGCAGUGGGGAAUAUUGCACAAUGGGCGCAAGCCUGAUGCAGCCAUGCCGCGUGUAUGAAGAAGGCCUUCGGGUUGUAAAGCACUUUCAGCGGGGAGGCGUUACCCGCAGAAGAAGCACCGGCUAACUCCGUGCCAGCAGCCGCGGUAAUAC
rnacentral:rRNA from 1 species